CGGCGGACCAGUGAGCACCCACCUGCUGCACCCACCAUGGCUCGCUCCGCCACGCUCACCGCCCUCUGUCUGGUGCUGCUCGUUCUGGCCGCCGUCACCACCCAGCACGCAGUCGAGGGAGCAAGUAGAGCGGUGCGAGCCUCCACGUGUACGCCGGGCAGCACCUUCAUGCAGGACUGCAAUACGUGCCGCUGCAACGACAAGGGGACCGCCGCCUCCUGCACCACCAAGAUCUGCGCCGGGUAGCCGGGCACCCGCCCGCUCUGCUCCAGCAGGCACCGGUCCAGGAUGCUGGGAGUCGGGACGUGUAGUUCUCUGUCUCCUUCAGUGCCUCGCUGCUAAUCUUGCUGCACGUGCUCUUCAUGCUUACAUUCUCUGUAAUUCUCUGCUAUAGUCUUAAAACUCUAUUCACGAGUGGCCCAAAAAACCUGUGCAUUAGUUAUGAAAUAAAUUUAGAGUGAAUAACAAAUA